GACGAACGCUGGCGGCGUGCUUAACACAUGCAAGUCGAACGGAAAGGCCCUGCUUUUGUGGGGUGCUCGAGUGGCGAACGGGUGAGUAACACGUGAGUAACCUGCCCUUGACUUUGGGAUAACUUCAGGAAACUGGGGCUAAUACCGGAUAGGAGCUCCUGCUGCAUGGUGGGGGUUGGAAAGUUUCGGCGGUUGGGGAUGGACUCGCGGCUUAUCAGCUUGUUGGUGGGGUAGUGGCUUACCAAGGCUUUGACGGGUAGCCGGCCUGAGAGGGUGACCGGCGACAUGGGGACUGAGAUACGGCCCAGACUCCUACGGGAGGCAGCAGUGGAGAAUAUUGCACAAUGGGGCGAAGCCUGAUGCAGCAACGCCGCGUGCGGGAUGACGGCCUUCGGGUUGUAAACCGCUUUCGCCUGUGACGAAGCGUGAGUGACGGUAAUGGGUAAAGAAGCACCGGCUAACUACGUG
rnacentral:rRNA from 1 species